AGGGGACGCGGAGGAGAAGGAAAGUCGCUCAAGCAGUGGACAGAGCGGAGAAAGCGACUUCGGGUCUGCUGGAGUUUGCUGGAGGUGCACUCCAGACUCUGUUUGCCUGCCUAUCACCAACAGAGGCUGCAGAACAGCAAAGAUUGCUGUCUGUAACUUCCUCUGGAAGCUUCAUCCCAGAGGGGCACCUGCCAGAUGCCAGCCGGAGCUCUCCUCUAUGAGCCGCAGAGAGAAGAAGCUGCCCAAGAAUGGAAAGGAAGAAAUAUAUCACAUCAUCUGUCUGUCCACAGGCUUUCCUUGGGGCUUAUGAAGUGAAUGAAGGAGGGAAGAAAGGAGAGACAGAGAAAAUAUGGAUUUCCUCAUGGUUGUGAUUCCUCUUCACUCUUUUGAAUUUGGAAGGAUGGCAUACACAUCUGAAAAAUAGUAUUUGUGUCAGAGUAAGAAAUCUCUUUCUAGAUGUUUUUGCCAUAAAGUCAUAUUUCUGUGUUUUGGACAUCGCAUUUUGUGGUCAUAAAAUGGAAGUGAUUGUAAGGCCACGUAUUCAGCACAAUGACCUUGAUCCUGAAUGAAGUGGAGAGAGGAGAGAGAGAACAGCGUGACUAACAGCUCUUGUUGAAGCACAAGUAACUUUUUAUGUUCCACUCCACAAUGAUGAAAAAGUAAACACAGAGACAGGUUUUAGAUGUUGAUGGCUUUAUAUCAAAGUGAAAUAUAUUUGUCAUGUUCCAAAGUUACCUUCAUUAUCAUUAUUUUUAGAGGAAUGGUUAAAAGCAUAGGCUCUGGAAUCAAACAGCUUGGGUUCAAAUCUUGGAUCUUUCACUUCUUAGCUGCAUGACCUUCAUUAAGUUCUCAUCUGUAAAAAUAGGGAAAAUACGAGAAACUACUUCAUGGGAUUGUUACAAAGAUAAAGUGCAAUAAUGCAUGUGUCUGGCAUAGAGUAAGCUCUUUCAGUGUCAGUUAGUAUUAGCAUAAUUAAGUGCAGAAUGUUUGUAAAAUGUUAUCUAAAUUGUACUAUACUCGACCUGGUUUAAAGUAAGUGAAUGGAUAUCUGUGAAACUUUCUGACAUGUGCUAAAAUACAUUGCAGCCUUCAUUAAA
ensembl:lncRNA SOX2-OT SOX2 overlapping transcript